rnacentral:rRNA from 1 species
CAGCAGCCGCGGUAAUACGAAGGGGGCUAGCGUUGCUCGGAAUCACUGGGCGUAAAGGGAGCGUAGGCGGGUUUUUAAGUCAGAGGUGAAAUCCUGGAGCUCAACUCCAGAACUGCCUUUGAUACUGAAAGUCUUGAGUAUGGGAGAGGUGAGUGGAACUGCGAGUGUAGAGGUGAAAUUCGUAGAUAUUCGGAAGAACACCAGUGGCGAAGGCGGCUUACUGGCUCAUUCUAGACGCUGAGGUGCGAAAGCGUGGGGAGCAAACAGGAUUAGAUACCCCGGUAGUCCCUGUCUCUUAUAU